AUCAUUGCCAUAUCCUAAAAUGCAGAGAAGAAAUGAUUCCUCUUAUCAUUAUCUUUUCUUUCUCUGCCUGAAACUGAGAUGGCGGAUCCAUUAACGUUCAGAGGAUGGAGAUGAUGAGAAGAUUAGGAGGUCGAGAUUCAAAUGAAGAGGAUUUUGCUGGUGUUUAGACGAACAACACAGAGAGACCAAGAUUUGAAGAUGAUGAAACAGAAAUUAGAAGAAUUUGAAUCUAGGGUUUCUGAGAUUGAAUGUUUGAGAAGAGAAUGAAUAUGGGUUUCAGAAUCAAAGACUGUUGCUGUUGGAAUUACUGAGAUUGAAAGAAGUUGAAGAGAUGGGUAUGAAGAUGAUUAAUCUGCAAAUGGGUUUUAUGUGAUGGUGGAUGAUUGUAAUGGGUUAAGCUGCUGCUGAAGUUGGUUAUGAUGUUGUGUCAAGAAGUGGGUAUGAAAUUGAAGAUCUACUGGUGGAUUUAAGGUUACAGCAGAUCUGAGAUUAAAAUGGGUUCAACUGAUAUUUGAGUUUGGAUCGAGUUCUGGGUGUAUGCGCUGAAGGAGAUACUAAUGAGUCUGUGGAAUUGGUGGUGGUGUUGAAUCUGUUGCAUACAACAAAUGUAGUUGCAAGUGAUGUAUGCUCAGGUUUAAAAGGCAAUUGCAGGAAUGGCGAAAGAUGCAGCUGCAACUGAAGCUCAAGUUAAUGAUGUUUUUGAUGGCUUACUGAUGUUGUUGUUUACAAGGUCAAUAAUGGGUUUGAUUCUGUGAGUCUGAAGAUUCAAAUGAAGUUGGGGUUUGUUGUUAGAACUCAGAAAAAAAAGGAGAAGAAAUUGAAUGCAGUGAUAGUUGGAGUUGCAAAUGCAGAUAUGACUGGUCUUAAAGCUAUUGCAGUUGAUUUGAAGGGACAGAGAUGGAAGUUUCAACUGGUAUUGGAGCUGCCACUGUGACUGAUGGAUUUGGUAGAAGGGUUGCAAGCCAUGAGCUGAGAAGAUUGAUGAAUUGCAGUGGAUAUAGAGUUUGAGACAAAAUUGUUGGUGCUGCGGAAUGGUUUGUGGAGCAGUGGCGAUGGAAGUACUGAUACUAAUGGAGCUGCUGCCGUUUCUUUGAGCUAUAACGCAGAGAAGGUUGCAGUUGCAGUUUAUGAAGAAUGAAUGGAUACAUGACACAGGGGAUGAAUGUAUGAACUCGGUAUUGCAGGAUUGAAGCUGUAGAAAUGAUGUAGAGAUUGAACUGGUGGACAAGAAGGUGGAGCUGUUGGUGACAGUGGCUUGAGCACGGUGGAACUCAGUAUGUGCUUGAAUCUGGAGGUGCAGUUGCAGCAAAGAAUGAAAUUAAUGGGUUCUGGUGACUGAAGCGCUGAAAGAAUGGUGUUGGCCUGAGGAGAUUCAAGGGUUGUGAAAGCUGAGCAGUAAAGUGUUGUUAGUGACAACGAGCUGAAGAUGUUGAACCUUUGUUGAGCUGAAAUGAUGCUGGUGUUGUUUCGCAGAACCAACCUGCUUUUGAAAUGCUAUAAAUUGGCUGAAGUGGAGUUGUGAUGCACCACAAUGGUGCAACACAGAGGUUAUGGCUCAUGCAAGAUUGCUUAGGCCUGUGCAAAAUCACUUUGGCCUGGCACCUAGUCUACUCAUCCAAACAAGACACCCUGACUCGGUCUUAACUCGACCGACUCAUCUUAACUCGGUUGACCUGACCGAGCUGACUCGUUGACCGGUGACCAGGUGGACUUUGCCGGUCACCUGAGAUAUUUUCCGGCAACUUCCGGCACUGCACCAGUUUUCUGGCGACAUAUUUUUGGCAAGAUUUUUACAUGGGUUUCUCACGCACAUGGGCUUGUUGGAUCACUUGGACUUUGGGCUUUGAAAACCUAGUUUUGGAAAGAAGAAAAGCUACAAAAGGAAAAUUUUCUACUUCUUUGUGGAUGACGUAUUUUUCUAUUGGGAGCUUUGGAGAAAGGCGACUAGGGUUUGAUUUCAUUUUUCAUCUUCUUCAUUUUUAUUAUUGAUUAUGAUGAACUCAAAAGCUAUGAGUAGCUAAACUCAUAUUCUUGGUUAUGAGAUAAAGUGGAUUUCACAAAUGAUAUUUGCAUCUAUGAAUUAGUUUUGUCUCAAUAAUUUAUUGUUUAUGGUUCACAAUUAAUAGUGUUAUAUAGUUUGAAUGCUUGUUUA